UAGUGCAGUAACUUGGAAUAUAUACAUAACACACGUGAACAUGAAAGGGAAUCGUGGCUAAAAGCACAACAUGAAAACCCAGGAACAAGAAAACGCGCAGCUCAAAAUUGCGUUUCCAGAAGUGAUUUAUGCAAAACAUGAUUUGUACCUUUUUCCACCAUAAGCGCUUCCCGUUGAUGCAAAAGCGACCAAGUCGCUCGGGUGAACCUCACACAAUAACAACAUUAAUCUGCUCAUCUCUCAAUCGGUUCAAAUUCCAAUUUGAUUUAGAAUUCAGUUUUGGUUCUGGUUUAGGAUGGGUUUGGAAACUGAGUUUGACUCGGUUUAGCUUACGCGACUUAGGUUCAGAAUCGUGUUUAGUUUGUUUUACAUGAGUGUGUUGUUGUUAUCACUGUGUUAUAGCUGAUGUUAAUUGCGGUUCUAUUUUGAAUUUGAUAACAUGUAUGCCGUUCUGAAACUCGCACACCAAUUGUUCGGUGAAAUGCUUGAACUGAAACUUCUUGCUUUUCGAUUUGUUUCGGUUCUAUUUUUGGAUUUUCCAACCGAGCCUUGGUUUGGUAAUGGAUUUUUCGUGGUUUCUUGCAGUUUAUGGUGAAUCGUUGAUGAAGGUUGAAAUUGGUGAUGAAAGAGGUCAAGGUAUGGUAUUGACAAGAUGCUGAAAUUUUCUAUGGUUUUUGUUCAUGGCAAGGUUUGGAUUCUCAUGGUAACCGUCCACUCGAGAUGAAUAGCAAGGUAAAUACAUAAACAAACAUGCAAAGAUAACUCAAACAAGUAAGCAAACAUAGAAGGACAAACAGGCAACCAUUCAUGGAGUCAUAAAUAAAGUUUGAGGCUUACCGAUCGGAGACCCUCCGAUGGUUCUUCAACGGCAAUGCAAAUUCAAUACGUGUAGUGAAGGUUAUGCUCAAGUUUAUUGAAGCUUCAAUGUGAAGGUUCAACAACCAUGAAUUUGAGUUCUAGUGAGGGAAGGUCGAUGAAUGGAGAAUGGAGAGUGAAAAACUUGAGAUAAAGGGAAGAGUGAGUGGAAUAAAAAAAAAGUGAAGAAGAAGAAGAUCUUUAGUGAGCGAAUGAUGAAUGCUUAUAUGGAACUAGGCGAGUGAUGAUUAAAUUGGUUAGAAAUUAGUUGAGUAUGUUUUAGGCACUUUGGGCAAUUGCCCAAAGUGGUUAGAAGUUAGUUAGUGAAAAUUUAAGAUAUUUAGGACGGUUAAAGCAUGGAUGUAUGUGAAUUUACAUGCAUGUGCAUAUGCUGAAUUUUUAGUGAAUAUGAAUAAAAUUGGAUGAAUUUACAUGGCACCACUUGAACCCAUGCUUGGCCAUUUACAUGUUAUGAAUGAACGAAUUAUAGAUGUAAUUGGAUUGAUGUUCAUGGAUGAAAUGAUCUAUCACAUGCAUGCUGAAUUUUUCUUUCAAUGUGCAUGAUUUAUGAGGUUUCACUUGUUGUAUAGAAGUGGAAUGAAAGUGAUACAUAAUAUAGAAUUUAUUCAUGGUAUAUGCAUAACAUGCAUAAUUUUUAUUGAAUUUGACUUGGUUUAAUGGUUUUGCAUAUGAUGUGAAUGUAUGUGCAUGUGUUGGAUUUUAGAGAUGAGUGACAUGAAUUUAAAAUGACUUUUCAUGUAUAUUUUGUAAAUGCUCAUGAUACUGAAUUUUGUUAUGUAAGUGCUGAAUUUUUUGAAGUGAAUAUAAUUUCUAACUUAUUUUUGUUUUCUUUGCAACAUGGUACAUGAUAAUGGAGCAUGAACAAACAUGGUCAAGAGUGGAGUAUGAAUGAAGACUAUUGAAGAGCUUGGAAUUAUUUUUAUUCUUUUGUGUAUGGAAACUAUGUAAUAUGCUGAUAAUAACAUAAAGUUAUGUAAAGUGAAGUCAUGUGCAUGUGAAGAUAAUAUUUAGUGACUUUUGAACCUUAUGUACAUGGAUUGAAAGACCAUGAAUAAAAAAAGAGGAAUUAUAGCUCAAA